AAUGAACGUUGGCGGCGUGGAUUAGGCAUGCAAGUCGUACGCACAGCUUCGGCUGUGAGUGGCGCAAGGGUGAGUAAUGCGAAGGUAACCAACCCUGGAGUUGGGCAUAACCGCGGGAAACUGCGGGUAAUUCCCAGCGAUGUCUCGAGAUGGCAUCAUCUUGCGACCAAAGGUGUGAUUCCGCUCUAGGACGGGCCUUCGUGGUAUUAGGUAGUUGGUGAGGUAACGGCUCACCAAGCCGACGAUGCCUACCGGGUGUGAGAGCAUGACCCGGCACACUGGGACUGAGACACUGUCCAGACACCUACGGGUGGCUGCAGUCGAGAAUCUUCGGCAAUGGGCGAAAGCCUGACCGAGCGACGCCGCGUGAGGGAAGAAGGCCUCGGUUGUAGACCUCUUCGUAGAGGUAGGAAGGGACCGGUAGCGAGAGCGGUCUUUGACCUAUUCUAGGAAGAAGCUUGGGCUAAGUUCGUGCCAGCAGCCGCGGUAAU
rnacentral:rRNA from 1 species